GGAGAAGAUGACUCAGUUGCCCGCGUUACCAUGUGAUGUCCUAGCGCCCGUGCAAGGAGUGAGUUAGAGGAAACCAUUUGCCUUCCCUUCAGGGACAAAGUGGAAAAUUGUUGUGUGACAAAUGUUCCCAACUUGGUCUAAAGAAGUAACACCCGACGAGUAGCAUCCUUGUUUCCUUGUGGCCAACAGAACUGGACAACUUUGGUAAGGGAGUCAGGGCAGCUUUCCCUGACUCUUGGGGUCAAGGACCUUUGUGAACAGCCUUUCCAUCACUUAGCAGCGAAGAUGAGGAGACACCAAAGGUAUUCUCUGAUUUAUCAGGUUUGGUGGAGUCUCUCCUUGUCUGAUUUAUGUCAGCUCAAUUCAGCUGCAACCCUGGGCUGAAGUUUCCAGCGUGUAAUGUUUUCUUUUUCUUUUUAUUUUGGUUUUGGAAUCAGCACCACCAGAAUUCAUUCAAAGAAGGAACGUGUUUAGUAAAGCUGGGAGUUUCUGCUGUGGUUGAUAUUGUUUUCCUGACACACUCAUUUGAAAUUCAGCUAACAUACUCUUCUGCAGCAUUUGCAAGCAGGGAGGGAAGGACUGCCAUUUCUGCAACAGUAAUAUGACUAACUCCCUGGCAAUCUCUCAGCUAACUCCUCCUGAAGAGUAUGAGUUGAGUUUGUUGACUGUGAUGUCAGGUUACACCAGCAGAUA